rnacentral:rRNA from 1 species
CAGCCGCCGCGGGAAUACGAAGGGUGCAAGCGUUACUCGGAAUUACUGGGCGUAAAGCGUGCGUAGGUGGUGGUUUAAGUCCGUUGUGAAAGCCCUGGGCUCAACCUGGGAAUUGCAGUGGAUACUGGAUCACUAGAGUGUGGUAGAGGAUAGUGGAAUUUCCGGUGUAGCAGUGAAAUGCGUAGAGAUCGGAAGGAACAUCUGUGGCGAAGGCGACUAUCUGGGCCAACACUGACACUGAGGCACGAAAGCGUGGGGAGCAAACAGGAUUAGAUACCCGUGUAGUCCCUGUCUCUUAUAC